AACGCGAAGAACCUUACCUGGGCUCGAACGGCUUAAGAUCAUCUUUGGAAACAGAGACUUCCCGCAAGGGACUUGAGUCGAGGUGCUGCAUGGCUGUCGUCAGCUCGUGUCGUGAGAUGUUGGGUUAAGUCCCGCAACGAGCGCAACCCUUGUCCUGUGUUGCCACUCCGUAAGGAAGCACUCGCAGGAGACCGCCAGCGAUAAGCUGGAGGAAGGUGGGGAUGAUGUCAAGUCAUCAUGGCCUUUAUGUCCAGGGCUACACACGUGCUACAAUGGGCGGUACAAAGCGCUGCAAACCCGCGAGGGGGAGCUAAUCGCAAAAAACCGUUCUCAGUUCGGAUCGCAGGCUGCAACUCGCCUGCGUGAAGCUGGAAUCGCUAGUAAUGGCGUAUCAGAAUGAUGCCGUGAAUACGUUCCCGGGCCUUGUA
rnacentral:rRNA from 1 species